CCCGUUGGGGAAAAUUGAGGGGUAUAAAUACCGAACAGUUUCCAAAACUGCAUACAACGAUUCUGACUAAAGAACUUAACUUCUGUUUUUGAAGCCGAAUAUUAUAAAAAAAAUCAAGAUGCGUUUCGCAAUCAUAUUCCUGAUCGCUGCUAUGCUGGUUUGUCUAUCAGUUAAGAGUGUUUACGGCGCUGCAGCAGCUUCUGGAGCAAAUUCAGGGGCUAGUUCCCAAGCAGGGUCUAGUGCUCUUAGUGGCAUCACUGGUAUGACGAGCGGUCUUAUGCCUAUAGCGUAAUUUAAUCUUUCAAUUCCAACAAAGAAGACCACGAUAACUAUGUAAUAAAUUUACGUAGUUAAUCAUAUUGAAGAUAAACUGCAAGAAUUCAUACUAACUAUUAUUAUGAAUCAGCUAAAAUAGUAAAAAUGUUCUAUUGUGAAAAGUUCGUUUAUUAAAUAAAGAAUUUUUAAUAAUAAA